rnacentral:rRNA from 1 species
AUAAGGAGUCGGACCUGCCCAGUGAAAUGUUUCAACGGCCGCGGUACCCUGACCGUGCAAAGGUAGCAUAAUCAUUUGCCUUAUAAUUGAAGGCUAGUAUGAAUGGUUUGACAAGAAUAUAACUGUCUCUUUUAGAUUGAAUAAAAUUUUAUUUUAAGGUGAAGAAGCCUUAAUUUAAUUAAAAGACAAGAAGACCCUGUCGAGCUUAAAAAAACUUGGUAAAAGGAUAUAAUUAAAAAUUAAAUAAACCUGGUUAUUAAAAAUUUUAGUUGGGGCGACUAAGGAACAAAUAAAGCUUCCUUUAUUUAUAUGAAAUUAAUAGAUUUUGAUCCAAAAAUUUUGAUUAAAAAAAUUAGUUACCGCAGGGAUAACAGCAUUAUCUUUUUUGAGAGCUCUUAUCGAAAAAAAGGUUUGUGACCUCGAUGUUGGACCAGAAUAUCCCAAAGAUGCAGAAGUCUUUAAAGGUUGGUCUGUUCGACCAUUAAAAUUCUA